GACGAGGCACUACGGUGCUGAAGCAACAAAUGCCCUGCUUCCAGGAAAAGCCUCUAAGCAUCAGGUAACAUUAAAUCGUACCCCAAACCGACACAGGUGGUCAGGUAGAGAAUACCAAGGCGCUUGAGAGAACUCGGGUGAAGGAACUAGGCAAAAUGGUGCCGUAACUUCGGGAGAAGGCACGCUGAUAUGUAGGUGAAGCGACUUGCUCGUGGAGCUGAAAUCAGUCGAAGAUACCAGCUGGCUGCAACUGUUUAUUAAAAACACAGCACUGUGCAAACACGAAAGUGGACGUAUACGGUGUGACGCCUGCCCGGUGCCGGAAGGUUAAUUGAUGGGGUUAGCGGCAACGCGAAGCUCUUGAUCGAAGCCCCGGUAAACGGCGGCCGUAACUAUAACGGUCCUAAGGUAGCGAAAUUCCUUGUCGGGUAAGUUCCGACCUGCACGAAUGGCGUAAUGAUGGCCAGGCUGUCUCCACCCGAGACUCAGUGAAAUUGAACUCGCUGUGAAGAUGCAGUGUACCCGCGGCAAGACGGAAAGACCCCGUGAACCUUUACUAUAGCUUGACACUGAACAUUGAGCCUUGAUGUGUAGGAUAGGUGGGAGGCUUUGAAGUGUGGACGCCAGUCUGCAUGGAGCCGACCUUGAAAUACCACCCUUUAAUGUUUGAUGUUCUAACGUGGGCCCGUAAUCCGGGUUGCGGACAGUGUCUGGUGGGUAGUUUGACUGGGGCGGUCUCCUCCUAAAGAGUAACGGAGGAGCACGAAGGUUGGCUAAUCCUGGUCGGACAUCAGGAGGUUAGUGCAAUGGCAUAAGCCAGCUUGACUGCGAGCGUGACGGCGCGAGCAGGUGCGAAAGCAGGUCAUAGUGAUCCGGUGGUUCUGAAUGGAAGGGCCAUCGCUCAACGGAUAAAAGGUACUCCGGGGAUAACAGGCUGAUACCGCCCAAGAGUUCAUAUCGACGGCGGUGUUUGGCACCUCGAUGUCGGCUCAUCACAUCCUGGGGCUGAAGUAGGUCCCAAGGGUAUGGCUGUUCGCCAUUUAAAGUGGUACGCGAGCUGGGUUUAGAACGUCGUGAGACAGUUCGGUCCCUAUCUGCCGUGGGCGCUGGAGAACUGAGGGGGGCUGCUCCUAGUACGAGAGGACCGGAGUGGACGCAUCACUGGUGUUCGGGUUGUCAUGCCAAUGGCACUGCCCGGUAGCUAAAUGCGGAAGAGAUAAGUGCUGAAAGCAUCUAAGCACGAAACUUGCCCCGAGAUGAGUUCUCCCUGACCCUUUAAGGGUCCUGAAGGAACGUUGAAGACGACGACGUUGAUAGGCCGGGUGUGUAAGCGCAGCGAUGCGUUGAGCUAACCGGUACUAAUGAACCGUGAGGCUUAACCUU
rnacentral:rRNA from 1 species